GUUUGUUUGCUGAAAUUAUUUCAUAUAUGCGAUAUAUGAUUACAUAUAUAGAUCUGAAUUAUAGUUCAUAUGUAUGAUAUGUGAAAGAUAAUUAGAUCUAAAAUUUAGUCUUUACAUAUGUGAUAUGUUAGAUUAAAUCUCUUAGUAGCUUAGUAUUCAGAUUGAGAUAAUCACCAUGGUCGUCCGAUCAUAAGAGGUAAAAGAGAUUAAAGUCCUUCUCUUGUCCAUUCUAUGAGUUCUCUUAUGACGUGUAGAGGUGCCGAUUGUGAUAUUUUUCAUGAAGAAGAAUAGUAAACAAAAAAUUAUAUUUGAUAUAUGUUUUAGAUUUAGAUCUUUUAUGCAUGUAUUAAGAUGUGUUUUAGAUCAAAAAUGAUAUAUCUGACAUAUAGUUUUUGACACAUGAUCUGAAACUUAAUUUUUGCAAAAUUGUAGAUCCAAAAUCCUAGGUUCUAUUUGCAUGAAAUCCUGAAACUGUGACUGGCACGCCUAUGGAGUCGACUCGAUUAUUAUUCGGAUUGACUCGAGUGUUUGGCAAGUCGAC
rnacentral:lncRNA from 1 species